UAGACUUGACACUUUAUUGUCUUUUUAAAUGGCCAAAGGAUUCAUGGCAUCAUUCGAUACAUGAAUGGCGAAAUAUGAGACCCCUCAAGAGCCGAGCCGGUUCUGGAGACCUUAUAAAUGUGCAAGGUCAGACAUUCUGCUGGUCGGUAUAGAGGACAACAGCACUCUUGUCUGAUGUGCUAUAGUAUCUGCAAGCUCAGUGUCUUCUGUGUCAGAAGCAACAAUCCCCUGCUGUGAAGCGGCAGACCCAGGCUCUGCCACCCAGGGAAAGUUGUAUUUGUCAUUUGAGACCCGUCAAUGCUCAUCUACAGUGGGGUCUGGUUACACUGUCUCAACACCAUCUGUGCUCGGGGGCACAAGGCCAGUGAUGUCCUCCUGUUGCUGAGAAAACGUGCCAUACACACUAAAGUGAUAGUUCACCCAAAAAGGAAAAUUCUGUAAUCAUUUACUCACACUCAUGUCAUUUCAAGCCUGUAUGACUUUUUUUCUGCAGAAUAUAAAAGAAGAUUUUGAAGAAUGUUGGUAACCGAACCGAACGGCGGUACUCAUUGACUUGCAUUGUUUUUGUGUCCAAUAUAAAUAUCUUCUUUAGAAUUAAGUCAUACAGGUUUGAAAAGAAAAGAAGGGGCGACACUGGUCAAAAACCUUUUGUCUUUUUUACAGUUUUUCAUCUAUUUUUUAUAAGAUCAAUGUGAAAUUACAGAAAAUGGAAAAACUGGGAAAAUGUGGUUAAUUUCUGGCACCCUGCAUUCUUUUUACAGUGACUGUAUUUUAAAUUUUGGGUGAUCACUUUAACAGCUAAAAAAUAUUAAAUGCAACAGAAAUGAUUGGUUAUCUGAAAGUAAACUUACCAUAUAUAACUAAUAUUUUAAAAUAUUUGAUAAUUUAACUAUACACUGUAAAAAAUGAUUCAUGCCAUAGUAAUCAUGCCUCAAUUAAAUAGGGCUGAUUUUCCUCAAAAAAUUUGAACAUUACUUAAUUUCUUGCUAUAAAUGUUACACCAUUUACUGAGACUGCGGUUUACUCAAAAUAAUGAGUAAACAAAGCAAGUUAUUUUCAGUAAAGACGCACGAAUCUGGUUAUAAGUCAAUUUGACUAAACAUUUUAAGAUUUGGUUAGAUCACGUGACACAGCACUUGACUGGCUUUCAAGGCUAGCGGCGAUUUUCUGAAAAGCAUCUCCUCAGACGAUAAAGCUGAGUAAUUUUAUCUUGUUUUAUAUUAAAAUAUUUUAUUAAAUAAAUCCCAACAAUAGUGUGAAGAUAGAUGUUUCUACGUGUUUUCACUUUAAAUAAGUUUAAUUGUGGGGGUGCACGUAUAGUGUUAAGCUCCUGGAUAUCAAAUGUACAGAAAUACAAACACGCGUGCACAGUGCGCUUCAACUUUUGCGAGAAUACAUUUUAUUUACGUUUCUUAAAUGAGAUUUAUGGUAAACAAUCACGAUUGCCUACUUUUAUGAAGACAUGAAAACACGUUGCGAGUUGUAUUCGCCGUCCAGCUCCUUGACACAACGCGACACGAGUGCUAAGAUGCUGUGACCGUUCACAGUGAGCUUGAAGUGCGAGGUGGAGGCUAGAACAGCGGGCUCAAAAUCUCAAUGUAUUGUGUUGUCAAGCCAGAAUGAAUGUUAAAAAAGACCUGAUUUUCAUAGUGAGGAACUUAUACAGAACUAGGACAAUAGUGGUGAAGUUUAUCAACCUUGCACAGCACGGAUCUCCAGAUACUCCAGAUUUCCAUAUUCAGCUCAACAUUACACGUAACAUGCAAGCUUACAAGACGACACACAAACAUUAUAUAAUAUUACAUAACUAUUCACUGUAAUUAAACGCACAUAUACACUCAUGCAUACAACACCACAAAUAUUAAAAACAUUAAAAAGCACUAGCCUUAUGCAUGUUGAUGGUUACUGUUGUUAUAAUAUUGUCAUUACGUCUGUUGUUUACCAUUGUUCAUUUCUUUUUGUUGUACAAUGUAAUUUAAAUUUCUGAACUGUGUUACAUGUUUUAAUUCAUUUAGUGAAAAAAUUAAGCUUUUAACAUUUCACAGCUGUCCAGUGUUUAUGUUUUUAGGUGUUAAGAACAUAAAGUUAUUAAUCUAAAUGAGCUUACAUUUUAUCAUGAGGGUAAACUAGAAUUUUUUGGUAGAAAUAACACAAAUGUGUUUGUAAAAACAACUUAAAAAUCUGAGUCACACCAACCUAAAAAAUUAAGCAAAGUCCCUCGCUAGGAAUAGGGUAGGGUUACUCAAAAUUUAAGCAAUUCCUACUAAAGAAAUUAAGGUAAUGCUGCUUAAAAUUUACUGGCUUAAAAAAUUGGUCGCAAAAAUUAUGCACUAUAUUUUUAAGUAACUUCAGUGAAAUGUUUUUUCAGUAGCAUAAAUAUACCUACAGAGUAUAAACCCCAUUAGUUUUGAUUUUCCAACUACUACAAGUACAAAUCACCAAUCACUUCAGUUUGAGUUUGAACUCCCUAGACAUAACAAUGUGGAAUCUACAAUAAAUAGAGUUGAGGCAAUACAACCACCUCAGUUCAUUACCUAAACAAUCUCAAUAGAAACAGGGCUGAAUUUCUCCAGUGUAACACAUUCUUUAAUUGAGAUGGAACUGACCUAAAAUUAUAGUAACCACAGACAGAAACUGCCCUCAGAAUGUGUUUUCUUUCUUCUCUUUUGUCUUUAACAUAAAAAUGGUGCCCCAGAAAUGUCAGUAGCUUACAUUUUUCCAAAUAUCUUUCUUUGAGUUCAACCAAACAAAGAAUAAAAAAGUAUAAAUGAAAAUCGUGACAGAAUUUUCAUUUUUAGGCGGAUUAUCCCUUAAUAAACUUUUUUUUAAGUUGGCACGCAAUGGAAGUAGCAAUUGUGUCCUUUUGCGUCUAUAUUAAGACGAAUAUCUGAGUGUAACGACUUCUGAAAACUGGGACUUGAUUUUGAGAACUGACUAGAUCGUUUUCAAUUGCUAAUCACUAAUCUUGACCUAAGCAUAAAUAAAUGUUUGUAGGCUCAGCCCACUCGCCAUUACUCGUGACAGGAACUAAAGAGAGGUCGCUUGGUUAAAGUUUUUGAUUAAAGAUUAUGAAGGCACGUGAAUUAAAAAACAAAGUGCACAGAUCAAUUAUUUAAAUAAAAACACAACAAUAUUCCACAAAAAACGACAGUUAUCACUCUCCCUGUGACUUUUUUUAAAAGUGAGAAUUAUACAGUGAUAUUUCUACUAUAGUACUGACUGAGAUAUUUUCCAGACUAUAACCUGAAACCUAAAAUCACAUAAUAAAGCUCAAACAGACAGAGACAAGAUAGAUAAACAGAACUUAUGCAUUCGUGAAGAUGAUUCAGUGUCAGAGGUUUCAUAAUAAAAAAUGAACACACUUAAUAAUGUUUACCUCAGCAGCAUCCUUGGCUCGCCGUUGUCAGCAGACAUACAAGUAGACUCAUAUUUUCUGAGAAACAAUGUGAGGUUGCUUAACCAUACAAAUAUUGGCAUGCAAUGGUGAGUGGUUUCCAGGACAUUGUUAGGCAGUUGCUAAGGUGUUCUGUAUAGAUCAUGGUGCCAGCAACAUAAAGGUCAUGCGUAUGAAAAAAAUGCACAACACAUAGCUUGAAUGAGCUGUAACUUGUUUUUUGGUAUUGUUAGUUCAC